rnacentral:lncRNA from 1 species
AACUAACUUACAGCGCAUAUCGUUUGGUUCGGAAAUAAGCAAAAAAUUGCUAUUCUAGAAAUAAGUAUAAAUUAAGGUAUAAGUGGGGAUUAGAUUAAUUUUGCGUUUGGAUGAAAAUUGAGUUGUUCCUGAGAAUAAAAAAAAUAGCGUUUAGUUAGAUAAGAUAGAAUAAGAAUUAAAAUGGAUAGUUAUAAAUAAAAAAUAAUGAUAUUAUUCCAUUCUUUAUAUUAGAAUUAGAAUUUUUAUAUUUUAUAUUUAUAUUUUAUAAUUUAAAAUAUAAACUUUUAAAUUUUAAAA